rnacentral:rRNA from 1 species
GACGAACGCUGGCGGCGUGCUUAACACAUGCAAGUCGAACGGGAUGGCGAACGGGUGAGUAACACGUGAGUAACCUGCCUUUUUCUUUGUGAUAACGCUCAGCAAUGGGUGCUAAUUCUGGAUGGAGGGCGAUGGUCACGCGGCUUAUCCGCUUGUUGGUGGGGUGAUGGCUUACCAAGGCUUUGACGGGUAGCCGGCCUGAGGGAGUGGGCGGUCACAGUGGGACUGAGAGACGGCCCAGACGCGUACGGGAGGCAGCAGUGGGGAAUGUGGCACAAUGGGGGGAACCGUGAUGCAGCGACGCCGGGUGAGGGAUGGAGGCCUUCGGGUUGUGAACCUCUUUCGCUCGUGUGCGGGUAGCGGGGAAAGAAGCGCCGGCUAACUACGUGCCAGCAGCCGCGGUAAUUC